rnacentral:rRNA from 1 species
UUGAACGCUGGCGGCAUGCCUUACACAUGCAAGUCGAACGGUAACGCGGGGCAACCUGGCGACGAGUGGCGAACGGGUGAGUAAUGCAUCGGAACGUGUCCUGUAGUGGGGGAUAGCCCGGCGAAAGCCGGAUUAAUACCGCAUACGACCUACGGGUGAAAGCGGGGGACCGCAAGGCCUCGCGCUAUAGGAGCGGCCGAUGUCGGAUUAGCUAGUUGGUGGGUAAGCCUGCCAAGGCGACGAUCCGUAGCUG